rnacentral:rRNA from 1 species
AACCAUGCAGUCGAGCGGAAGGCCCCUUCGGGGGUACUCGAGCGGCGAACGGGUGAGUAACACGUGAGCAACCUGCCCCUGACUCUGGGAUAAGCCCGGGAAACUGGGUCUAAUACCGGAUAUGACGCAUUCUCGCAUGGGAUGUGUGUGGAAAGUUUUUCGGUUGGGGAUGGGCUCGCGGCCUAUCAGCUUGUUGGUGGGGUGAUGGCCUACCAAGGCGACGACGGGUAACCGGCCUGAGAGGGCGACCGGUCACACUGGGACUGAGACACGGCCCAGACUCCUACGGGAGGCAGCAGUGGGGAAUAUUGCGCAAUGGGCGGAAGCCUGACGCAGCGACGCCGCGUGGGGGAUGACGGCCUUCGGGUUGUAAACCUCUUUCAGCAGGGACGAAGCUAACGUGACGGUACCUGCAGAAGAAGCGCCGGCUAACUACGUGCCAGCAGCCGCGGUAAUACGUAGGGCGCAAGCGUUGUCCGGAAUUAUUGGGCGUAAAGAGCUCGUAGGCGGUUUGUCGCGUCUGUCGUGAAAGCCCACGGCUUAACUGUGGUUCUGCGGUGUAUACGUUCAGACUAGAGUCAGGUACGGGAGAAUGUAAUUCCCGGUGUACCGG